rnacentral:rRNA from 1 species
GAUGAACGCUGGCGGCGUGCCUAAUACAUGCAAGUCGAGCGAACAGACGAGGAGCUUGCUCCUCUGACGUUAGCGGCGGACGGGUGAGUAACACGUGGAUAACCUACCUAUAAGACUGGGAUAACUUCGGGAAACCGGAGCUAAUACCGGAUAAUAUAUUGAACCGCAUGGCUCAAUAGUGAAAGACGGUUUUGCUGUCUCUUUUAGAUGGAUCCGCGCCGCAUUAGCUAGUUGGUAAGGUAACGGCUUACCAAGGCAACGAUGCAUAGCCGACCUGAGAGGGUGAUCGGCCACACUGGAACUGAGACACGGUCCAGACUCCUACGGGAGGCAGCAGUCGGGAAUCUUCCGCAAUGGGCGAGAGCCUGACGGAGCAACGCCGCGUGAGUGAUGAAGGUCUUCGGAUCGUAAAACUCGGUUAUUAGGGAGGAACAAAUGUGUAAGUAACUAUGCACGUCUUGACGAUACCUAAUCAGAAAACCACGACUAACUACGUG